GACGAACGCUGGCGGCGUGCUUAACACAUGCAAGUCGAACGGAAAGGCCCUGCUUUUGUGGGGUGCUCGAGUGGCGAACGGGUGAGUAACACGUGAGUAACCUGCCCUUGACUUUGGGAUAACUUCAGGAAACUGGGGCUAAUACCGGAUAGGAGCUCCUGCUGCAUGGUGGGGGUUGGAAAGUUUCGGCGGUUGGGGAUGGACUCGCGGCUUAUCAGCUUGUUGGUGGGGUAGUGGCUUACCAAGGCUUUGACGGGUAGCCGGCCUGAGAGGGUGACCGGCCACAUUGGGACUGAGAUACGGCCCAGACUCCUACGGGAGGCAGCAGUGGAGAAUAUUGCACAAUGGGAGGAAGCCUGAUGCAGCAACGCCGCGUGCGGGAUGACGGCCUUCGGGUUGUAAACCGCUGUCGCCUGUGACGAAGCGUGAGUGACGGUAAUGGGUAAAGAAGCACCGGCUAACUACGUG
rnacentral:rRNA from 1 species